GAACAAUUCAAAGGUCCCUCUCUAUCUCCCCACACAUCCACCAACCACUGGAACACAUCUCCAAAGUUCUGCUGGACCAGCUCAGCUUCCCCUCAGAAGAAGUGCUGCCACCUGCCAGAUGAAGGAGCCUUUUGAGAGGCAGCUGGCAUCAUGAUUGGACUGUACUUUGGUCUGUUCCAAUCCAGCUUCAGCUCCAGAGACGGCAGGCGGGACGAGUCAACGGAGGCCGGAUGGACGAAGACUAAAGAACUACAGACUCUUCACAACCUGCUCAAACUCUUGGUACAGGACCUCACCACACGGGUCAAGAAGGUUGCUUUGUAGAACUGUUCCAGAAAACCUCACUAAACC
ensembl:lncRNA